UACGUAGGGGGCUAGCGUUGUCCGGAAUCAUUGGGUGUAAAGCGCGUGUAGGCGGUUCGGUAAGUCCGCUGUGAAAGUCGGGGGCUCAACCCUCGGAUGCCGGUGGAUACUGUCGGGCUUGAGUACGGAAGAGGCGAGUGGAAUUCCUGGUGUAGCGGUGAAAUGCGCAGAUAUCAGGAGGAACACCAAUUGCGAAGGCAGCUCGCUGGGACGUUACUGACGCUGAGACGCGAAAGCGUGGGGAGCAAACAGG
rnacentral:rRNA from 1 species